CCUACGGGAGGCAGCAGUGAGGAAUAUUGGACAAUGGGCGCGAGCCUGAACCAGCCAAGUCGCGUGAGGGAAGACGGUCCUAGGGAUUGUAAACCUCUUUUGUCGGGGAGCAAACGACGCCACGCGUGACGUUCCGAGAGUACCCGAAGAAAAAGCAUCGGCUAACUCUGUGCCAGCAGCCGCGGUAAUAGGGAGGAGGCGAGCGUUAUCGGGAUUUAUUGGGUUAAAAGGGUGCGCAGGCGGAAGAUCAAGUCAGCGGGAAAAUUGAGAGGCUCAACCUCGUCGAGCCGUUGAAACUGGUUUUCUUGAGUGUGCGAGAGGUAUGCGGAAUGCGGGGUGUAGCGGUGAAAUGCAUAGAUAUCAGGCAGAAUACCGAUUGCGAAGGCAGCAUACCGGCG
rnacentral:rRNA from 1 species